GAUAAACGCUGGCGGCGUGCCUAAUACAUGCAAGUCGAGCGAACGGACGAGAAGCUUGCUUCUCUGAUGUUAGCGGCGGACGGGUGAGUAACACGUGGAUAACCUACCUAUAAGACUGGGAUAACUUCGGGAAACCGGAGCUAAUACCGGAUAAUAUUUUGAACCGCAUGGUUCAAAAGUGAAAGACGGUCUUGCUGUCACUUAUAGAUGGAUCCGCGCUGCAUUAGCUAGUUGGUAAGGUAACGGCUUACCAAGGCAACGAUGCAUAGCCGACCUGAGAGGGUGAUCGGCCACACUGGAACUGAGACACGGUCCAGACUCCUACGGGAGGCAGCAGUAGGGAAUCUUCCGCAAUGGGCGAAAGCCUGACGGAGCAACGCCGCGUGAGUGAUGAAGGUCUUCGGAUCGUAAAACUCUGUUAUUAGGGAAGAACAUAUGUGUAAGUAACUGUGCACAUCUUGACGGUACCUAAUCAGAAAGCCACGGCUAACUACGUGCCAGCAGCCGCGGUAAUACGUAGGUGGCAAGCGUUAUCCGGAAUUAUUGGGCGUAAAGCGCGCGUAGGCGGUUUUUUAAGUCUGAUGUGAAAGCCCACGGCUCAACCGUGGAGGGUCAUUGGAAACUGGAAAACUUGAGUGCAGAAGAGGAAAGUGGAAUUCCAUGUGUAGCGGUGAAAUGCGCAGAGAUAUGGAGGAACACCAGUGGCGAAGGCGACUUUCUGGUCUGUAACUGACGCUGAUGUGCGAAAGCGUGGGGAUCAAACAGGAUUAGAUACCCUGGUAGUCCACGCCGUAAACGAUGAGUGCUAAGUGUUAGGGGGUUUCCGCCCCUUAGUGCUGCAGCUAACGCAUUAAGCACUCCGCCUGGGGAGUACGACCGCAAGGUUGAAACUCAAAGGAAUUGACGGGGACCCGCACAAGCGGUGGAGCAUGUGGUUUAAUUCGAAGCAACGCGAAGAACCUUACCAAAUCUUGACAUCCUUUGACAACUCUAGAGAUAGAGCCUUCCCCUUCGGGGGACAAAGUGACAGGUGGUGCAUGGUUGUCGUCAGCUCGUGUCGUGAGAUGUUGGGUUAAGUCCCGCAACGAGCGCAACCCUUAAGCUUAGUUGCCAUCAUUAAGUUGGGCACUCUAAGUUGACUGCCGGUGACAAACCGGAGGAAGGUGGGGAUGACGUCAAAUCAUCAUGCCCCUUAUGAUUUGGGCUACACACGUGCUACAAUGGACAAUACAAAGGGCAGCGAAACCGCGAGGUCAAGCAAAUCCCAUAAAGUUGUUCUCAGUUCGGAUUGUAGUCUGCAACUCGACUACAUGAAGCUGGAAUCGCUAGUAAUCGUAGAUCAGCAUGCUACGGUGAAUACGUUCGGGGGUCU
rnacentral:rRNA from 1 species